GGCAAUACAACUGGUGAACCAUAUACAGUACAAACAAAUGUGUAUGUCAAUGGUGUUGGUAACAGAGAACAGAGAUUGAAGCUUUGGUUCGACCCAUCGAAGGAUUUUCACUCUUAUUCCAUCAUGUGGAAUCAACGUCAAGUUGUAUUCUUGGUAGAUGAAACCCCUGUUCGAGUGCAUUCAAAUUUGGAGCAUAGAGGAAUCCCAUACCCCAAGGAUCAACCAAUGGGUGUGUAUAGUUCGAUUUGGA
rnacentral:misc_RNA from 1 species